rnacentral:rRNA from 1 species
GUUUAAGUACUCCAAAAGCACCAGAUCCCAUCUGAUCUUGGAGGCUAAGCAGAAUCAGGCCUGAUUAGUUCUUGGAUGGGAGACCACCAACAAAGACCAGGUUCAGUAGGCU